GCUCCUGGUCUUAAUUGGCC
rnacentral:siRNA from 1 species